UCCCUGGUGGCUCAGAGGUUAAAGCAUCUGCCUGCAAUGCGGGAGACCUGGGUUCGAUCCCAGGGUCGGGAA
rnacentral:tRNA from 1 species